rnacentral:rRNA from 1 species
AUUGAACGCUGGCGGCAGGCCUAACACAUGCAGGUCGAGCGGAUGAAGGGAGCUUGCUCCUGGAUUCAGCGGCGGACGGGUGAGUAAUGCCUAGGAAUCUGCCUGGUAGUGGGGGAUAACGUCCGGAAACGGGCGCUAAUACCGCAUACGUCCUGAGGGAGAAAGUGGGGGAUCUUCGGACCUCACGCUAUCAGAUGAGCCUAGGUCGGAUUAGCUAGUUGGUGGGGUAAAGGCCUACCAAGGCGACGAUCCGUAACUGGUCUGAGAGGAUGAUCAGUCACACUGGAACUGAGACACGGUCCAGACUCCUACGGGAGGCAGCAGUGGGGAAUAUUUGACAAUGGGCGAAAGCCUGAUCCAGCCAUGCCGCGUGUGUGAAGAAGGUCUUCGGAUUGUAAAGCACUUUAAGUUGGGAGGAAGGGCAGUAAGUUAAUACCUUGCUGUUUUGACGUUACCAACAGAAUAAGCACCGGCUAACUUCGUG